GGUGGAUCAGGUUUUAAAGGAAGGUUUCCGGCGGCCUGCAAUACCAUUUUGGUUUGUUUUACCUGUCUCCACCUGCCGGACAGGGAAUUAGCCUGCUGGCCGGGGGCCGGGCCGGCAAACACCGGCAGGCAGCAAAGCUCAGGGGUGUGGGUCUGACAACAGGCCGAGGAGGCCUGUUCCCCUCCACAGAGCUUUGCACGCGGGAGGCCCAGGCCCCGAUCUGAGCUGGCUCCGAGUAACUCGAUAUGUUUUCUUUCGUUGCUGUGGACACAGUGCGCCAGAUUUAACUCUGCCGCAUCUGUGUCUAUCUGUCCGGUUGUUGCAGGGGCGGGGGGCAAGGGGGAGGGUUAUCGGAGGGAGAGGGGAGCAUGUCCCUGUGUCCUUGUUUUUUUCCUAUCCAUCUUCCUUUUUCCCUGCCUGCAUUGCUCACUCUGCUGUAUAUAACCCGACACGACUGUUGUGUGUCUCGAUCCCUAACCUUUGGGGAGGACCAGUGCGCUCUCUGUCUGCUAUAAGCCGCUGUGCAGACGCCUCCAGGCGCCCUGUCUGGGAAGCCCUGGCACUGUCAGAGUUAACAGCGGGCCUCUGGAAACUUGAACUUCCCCAGAAGUGCUUGUGCAGCAAUUAGCAGAGCCCCACUCAGAUGCAGAAAAAAGUCCCCUCGGUUAUAAAUGAACAAGCAGCCCAGGGUCUUGGAGCCAAGAGUCACCACUGUGCCCAGGCCUGCGGUGGUUACCCCCUUUGCAGAAAAGCCUGCACCUUCCAGGACUGUAUUGGAGAAGCCUGAUGCGCUAGCAGGAUUCUGAGGAAAGAUGGGCAAAGUGAGGAGGAGCAGGAGGGAUAGGAUGUGACUGAGCCAUACAGCCUCCAGCAUCUUGCUCCUAGAUGGACUGGAUCCUACAGGGAGAAUCUGGAGCUGCCUUUGGAAUCUUGGACAUGCUUCCUGGACUCUGGAACGUGUCCCCAUCAUGACCUCCCCAACCAGAGAAGCCCGCUGGCCAGGCAGGUCACCAUCCGGGGCUCUGCAUCGCCCGAGAAGUUGGAGGCCAAGAGCAUCAGACUGGAGCCUGCCAGCCUCCUCUGUCCACGGGAUUCUCCAGGCAAGAAUACUGGAGUGGGUUGCCAUUUCCUUUUCCAGAGGACCUUUCUGACCAAGGGAUCCAAUCCAUGUCUGUUGCGUCUCCUGCAUUGGCAGGUAGGUUCUUUACCACCAGCGCCACCUGGGAAGCCCAGGGACACUGCCAUUCUUUCCCACAAGACCUUGGCUUUUUAAAAAAAAAAAGAAAUUAAUUAACAUGGUUGCUCUGGAUCUUAGUUGUGGUUUGUGGGAUCUAGUUCCCUGACCAGAGAUCGAACCUGGAACCCCUGCAUUGGCAGUGCAGGAAGUCCCUCCCCCUAGCUUUCAGUAGGAAUUAUUCAGGACCCAGGAAACUCAGACUUUAGACACUGGCUUCCCUCUUUGUUUUCAGAUGGAGAGAAGCUCUUUAUCUUAAUGCAGUUGGUGCUUUUUGUGUCUUGCUGGCUCAGAUUGUAAAGGAUCUGCCUGCAGUACAGGAGACCUGGGUUCGAUUCCUAAGUUGGGAAGAUCCCCUGGAGGAGGCAUGGAAACCCACUCCAGUAUUCUUGCCUGGAGAAUCCCAUGGACAGAGGAGCCUGGCGGGCUACAGUCCAUGGGGUCACAAAGAGUUGGACAUGGCUGAAGCAACUCAGCACAGCAUGAGUCCUUCUUCCCUACCACAAUGUCAUGAAUAUAUUUCUCUUAUGGUUGGAAAGUUUCAUUUCUACAUUCAGUUUUAGUCCGUCUGGAAUUUGGGUCUGACUGUGAAAGCCAGCUUCCCACUGCUUGGCUGUGUGGCACUGAACAUCUCAGGAUCCCCGUGUCCCCACCUGACAGUUUUAACCAUACUGCACGUACCAAGCCAAGAAUGCAGGAGAGGCCUCCAUAACUAGAAUUGUUACGAACACCAGAUAUCUGACUUAACUGGCAUUUCUGGAGGCUCCAGUUUGCAGGACUUUAGGUGGGCCUCAUCUCAUCAGCUGAAGGUCUGAGUAGCCCACAAAGGCUGACCCUCUCACAAGGAGGGCACUGCUCCUGCCCGCUGCCUCUGAGCUGGGACUUGGAUCUUUUCCUGCCUUUAGACUCGAGAUGAAGCACAGCUCCUCCUGGGUCUUGCCCAUGCUGGCUUUCACAGUGGAACUCACACCACUGAAGCGCUGGUUCUCAGGAUUUGGGACUUAGACCAGGACUACAUUUGCAGUCCCCUUGUCUCUAAUUUACUGAAUGGAGUUAUUGGAACCUGUCAACUUCUGUAAUCAUGUGAGCUGAGUCCUUACAAUAAAUCACUCUGUGUGUGUG